ACGCUGGCGGCGUGCUUAACACAUGCAAGUCGAACGAAGAGCGAUGGAAGCUUGCUUCUAUCAAUCUUAGUGGCGAACGGGUGAGUAACGCGUAAUCAACCUGCCCUUCAGAGGGGGACAACAGUUGGAAACGACUGCUAAUACCGCAUACGAUCUGACCUCGGCAUCGAGGAUAGAUGAAAGGUGGCCUCUAUUUAUAAGCUAUCACUGAAGGAGGGGAUUGCGUCUGAUUAGCUAGUUGGAGGGGUAACGGCCCACCAAGGCGAUGAUCAGUAGCCGGUCUGAGAGGAUGAACGGCCACAUUGGGACCGAGACACGGCCCAGACUCCUACGGGAGGCAGCAGUGGGGAAUCUUCCGCAAUGGACGAAAGUCUGACGGAGCAACGCCGCGUGAGUGAUGACGGCCUUCGGGUUGUAAAGCUCUGUUAAUCGGGACGAAAGGCCUUCUUGCGAAUAGUUAGAAGGAUUGACGGUACCGGAAUAGAAAGCCACGGCUAACUACGUGCCAGCAGCCGCGGUAAUACGUAGGUGGCAAGCGUUGUCCGGAAUUAUUGGGCGUAAAGCGCGCGCAGGCGGAUUGGUCAGUCUGUCUUAAAAGUUCGGGGCUUAACCCCGUGAUGGGAUGGAAACUGCCAAUCUAGAGUAUCGGAGAGGAAAGUGGAAUUCCUAGUGUAGCGGUGAAAUGCGUAGAUAUUAGGAAGAACACCAGUGGCGAAGGCGACUUUCUGGACGAAAACUGACGCUGAGGCGCGAAAGCCAGGGGAGCGAACGGGAUUAGAUACCCCGGUAGUCCUGGCCGUAAACGAUGGGUACUAGGUGUAGGAGGUAUCGACCCCUUCUGUGCCGGAGUUAACGCAAUAAGUACCCCGCCUGGGGAGUACGACCGCAAGGUUGAAACUCAAAGGAAUUGACCGGGGG
rnacentral:rRNA from 1 species